rnacentral:rRNA from 1 species
UAAGCACUCCGCCUGGGGAGUACGGUCGCAAGACUGAAACUCAAAGGAAUUGACGGGGGCCCGCACAAGCGGUGGAGCAUGUGGUUUAAUUUGAAGCAACGCGAAGAACCUUACCAGGUCUUGACAUCCUCUGACAACCCUAGAGAUAGGGCUUUCCCUUCGGGGACAGAGUGACAGGUGGUGCAUGGUUGUCGUCAGCUUGUGUCGUGAGAUGUUGGGUUAAGUCCCGCAACGAGCGCAACCCUUGAUCUUAGUUGCCAGCAUUCAGUUGGGCACUCUAAGGUGACUGCCGGUGACAAACCGGAGGAAGGUGGGGAUGACGUCAAAUCAUCAUGCCCCUUAUGACCUGGGCUACACACGUGCUACAAUGGACAGAACAAAGGGCUGCAAGACCGCCAGCUUUAGCCAAUCCCAUAAAUCUGUUCUCAGUUCGGAUCGCAGUCUGCAACUCGACUGCGUGAAGCUGGAAUCGCUAGUAAUCGCGGAUCAGCAUGCCGCGGUGAAUACGUUCCCGGGCCUUGUACACACCGCCCGUCACACCACGAGAGUUUGCAACACCCGAAGUCGGUGAGGUAACCUUUAUGGAGCCCAG